UACUUUUAAUAUAUCUACUUUGCCAUAAACCCAGCAUCUGCCCUUGAAUAAGCAUUGGAAGGAAUGGCUGAUAGCAAGAACAGUAUCAGUGACGUAAAAUAUAAGAAUAGUAUUUAUGAAUAUGUUCAGACAAGAUACAGAACUACUGGCUCAAAAUCCGCAUGCAGUUCCAGGAAAGGCAGCUUCAUGUCUCCUCAGAGAAACGAAAGUUUAAAAGUUUGUUUUUACUAUUUCCAACACUUCUUGAUUUCCCACAGCAGUUAGAGCCAUGAGAAUAUUGAUGUGAGUAAGUUAACAUACAGAUCUAAAAGAUUAUGUCCACGUCAGAAUUCUUUUAUUCGGAGCUUUGGCUUCCUGCCAUGUGUUCAGGCAAUAAAUUGGCUGUAACAGAGCUGCUUCUAGCAUUCUGCUGAGUAGAAGUAUCCCAGCAGAGACAAUAGGAGCCAAAAUAAGGACAGGAAAAAGAGAGGCAACCCAGGUUAUCAGGAUUUCUGAAGUGCUUCUGCAAUGUUGCUCCGCUCAGGCCGCAAAAAGCCCUAUGAAGUGUCUCACCAUGAAAGGCAGUCUGUUAAGACACAAUCUCUGCUGAGAACUGUGAAAACAACUCCUGGAAACUCAGCGUUUAGUUUACGACAAACGCUGAAAUGCUAUAUACUGACUGAAGAUUCAAAAACAGUGCAUUUUGACAUAGAUGAAGACGGCCAUCAUGAAAUAUGCACCAAGGAUUCACAAUCCCAUGAAGAUAUUGCGUGGUUAAGUGUGUUCACAAAGAACGAACCAGCAGUUACUGAAAAGUGUGUGUGCUCUAUUGCUCAUGUAUGGGCCAAGAAAAGAAAUGGAUACGAAGAAAGAGGAGACACAUUUUUGGAACGUUCAUUUUGUAAGCACAAUAAGUGA
rnacentral:lncRNA from 1 species